rnacentral:lncRNA from 1 species
UAUAUAUAUAUAUAGAAUUAAGCUGCAAUGCUAUUAAUAGAACCCAGCUGUAUUGUCAUUAGAUUUUCGGCCUUUAGAUUAAGAAAUGUACGUUUAUGAUGAUAUGGAUCUUGUAGGGUUGAGUGAGUUGUUGAUUGAAUAAUAUAAUCUAACGGGUGAAAAUAGUCAAAAGAAAAUGUAUGAUUAGAAUGAUGUGAGCCUCCUAAAGUUGAGUUAAUUGUUGGUUAAGUAGUAUAAUCUAACGGGUGAAAAUAGUAAAUGGGUUAAAUCUAACGACGGAGAGAGAGAGAGAGGGGGUUGUGUUAAAAUACUAUUAAUAGUAUUUAUGUGAAUAAUAUUUACUAUCUACUUUUUAAUUAUUGAAUUUCUACAAUUUACGCGGCGGGGGUGGGGGCUUUAGUGGAUAGUAUGAUUUAAAUGGUGAAAAAAUUGAUAGUAA